rnacentral:rRNA from 1 species
GAUGAACGCUGGCGGCGUGCCUAAUACAUGCAAGUCGAGCGAACGGACGAGAAGCUUGCUCCUCUGAUGUUAGCGGCGGACGGGUGAGUAACACGUGGAUAACCUACCUAUAAGACUGGGAUAACUUCGGGAAACCGGAGCUAAUACCGGAUAAUAUUUUGCACCUCAUGGUUCAAAAGUUAAAUUCGGUCUUGCUGUCAGUUAUAGAUUGAUCCGCGCUGCAUUAGUUAGUUGGUAAGGUAACGGCUUACCAAGGCUACGAUGCAUAGCCGACCUGAGAGGGUGAUCGGCCACACUGGAACUGAGACACGGUCCAGACUCCUACGGGAGGCAGCAGUAGGGAAUCUUACGCAAUGGGCGAAAGCCUGACGGAGCAACACCGCGUGAGUGAUGAAGGUCUUCGGAUCGUAAAACUCUGUUAUUAGGGAAGAACAUAUGUGUAAGUAACUGUGCACAUCUUGACGGUACCUAAUCAGAAAGCCACGGCUAACUCCGUG